GACGAACGCUGGCGGCGUGCCUAAUACAUGCAAGUUGAGCGCUGAAGUUUGGUACUUGUACCAACUGGAUGAGCAGCGGACGGGUGAGUAACGCGUGGGGAAUCUACCUUUGAGCGGGGGACAACAUUUGGAAACGAGUGCUAAUACCGCAUAAAAACUUUAAACACAAGUUUUAAGAGUGAAAGAUGCAAUUGCAUCACUCAAAGAUGAUCCCGCGUUGUAUUAGCUAGUUGGUGAGGUAAAGGCUCACCAAGGCGAUGAUACAUAACCGACCUGAGAGGGUGAUCGGCCAAAUUGGGACUGAGACACGGCCCAAACUCCUACGGGAGGCAGCAGUAGGGGAUCUUCGGCAAUGGACGAAAGUCUGACCGAGCAACGCCGCGUGAGUGAAGAAGGUUUUCGGAUCGUAAAAAUCUGUUGGUAGAGAAGAACGUUGGUGAGAGUGGAAAGCUCAUCAAGUGACGGUAACUACCCAGAAAGGGACGGCUAACUACGUG
rnacentral:rRNA from 1 species